rnacentral:rRNA from 1 species
CCUACGGGUGGCAGCAGUGGGGAAUAUUGGACAAUGGGGGCAACCCUGAUCCAGCCAUGCCGCGUGAGUGAUGAAGGCCUUAGGGUUGUAAAGCUCUUUCGGCGGGGACGAUAAUGACGGUACCCGCAGAAGAAGCCCCGGCUAACUUCGUGCCAGCAGCCGCGGUAAUACGAAGGGGGCUAGCGUUGCUCGGAAUCACUGGGCGUAAAGCGCACGUAGGCGGAUCUUUAAGUCAGGGGUGAAAUCCCAAGGCUCAACCUUGGAACUGCCCUUGAUACUGGGGAUCUCGAGUCCGGAAGAGGUUGGUGGAACUCCGAGUGUAGAGGUGAAAUUCGUAGAUAUUCGGAAGAACACCAGUGGCGAAGGCGGCCAACUGGUCCGGCACUGACGCUGAGGUGCGAAAGCGUGGGGAGCAAACAGGAUUAGAUACCCUUGUAGUC